rnacentral:rRNA from 1 species
GGCGGACGGGUGAGUAACGCGUAAAGAACUUGCCCUUUAGACUGGGAUAACAGAGGGAAACUUCUGAUAAUACUGGAUAAGUUAGUAUAUCGCAUGAUAUGCAAAAUGAAAGCUACGGCACUAAAGGAGAGCUUUGCGUCCUAUUAGCUAGUUGGUAAGGUAAGAGCUUACCAAGGCGAUGAUAGGUAGCCGGCCUGAGAGGGUGGACGGCCACAAGGGGGACUGAGAUACGGCCCUUACUCCUACGGGAGGCAGCAGGC